rnacentral:rRNA from 1 species
GACGUAGGGCGCGAGCGUUGUCCGGAUUUAUUGGGCGUAAAGAGCUCGUAGGCGGCUUGUCGCGUCGUCCGUGAAAACCCACAGCUCAACUGUGGGCUUGCGGUCGAUACGGGCAGGCUGGAGUUCGGUAGGGGAGACUGGAAUUCCUGGUGUAGCGGUGAAAUGCGCAGAUAUCAGGAAGAACACCCGUGGCGAAGGCGGCUCUCUGGGACGGUACUGACGCUGAGACGCGAAAGCGUGGGGAGCGAACAGG